rnacentral:rRNA from 1 species
AGUCGAACGAGCAAAGAGGAGCUUGCUUCUCUGAGCGAGUGGCGAACGGGUGAGUAACGCGUGAGGAACCUGCCUCAAAGAGGGGGACAACAGUUGGAAACGACUGCUAAUACCGCAUAAGCCCACAGGUCGGCAUCGACCAGAGGGAAAAGGAGCAAUCCGCUUUGAGAUGGCCUCGCGUCCGAUUAGCUAGUUGGUGAGGUAACGGCCCACCAAGGCGACGAUCGGUAGCCGGACUGAGAGGUUGAACGGCCACAUUGGGACUGAGACACGGCCCAGACUCCUACGGGAGGCAGCAGUGGGGAAUAUUGCACAAUGGGGGAAACCCUGAUGCAGCGACGCCGCGUGGAGGAAGAAGGUCUUCGGAUUGUAAACUCCUGUUGUUGAGGAAGAUAAUGACGGUACUCAACAAGGAAGUGACGGCUAACUACGUGCCAGCAGCCGCGGUAAAACGUAGGUCACAAGCGUUGUCCGGAAUUACUGGGUGUAAAGGGAGCGCAGGCGGGAAGACAAGUUGGAAGUGAAAUCCAUGGGCUCAACCCAUGAACUGCUUUCAAAACUGUUUUUCUUGAGUAGUGCAGAGGUAGGCGGAAUUCCCGGUGUAGCGGUGGAAUGCGUAGAUAUCGGGAGGAACACCAGUGGCGAAGGCGGCCUACUGGGCA